rnacentral:rRNA from 1 species
AUUGAACGCUGGCGGCAUGCCUAACACAUGCAAGUCGAACGAGUGGCGGACGGGUGAGUAAUGUCUGGGAAACUGCCUGAUGGACGGGGCUAACUACUGGAAACGGUAGCUAAUACCGCAUACCAUCGGAUGUGCCCAGAGGGGAUUAGCUAGUAGGUGGGGUAAAGGCUCACCUAGGCGACGAUCCCUAGCUGGUCUGAGAGGAUGACAGGCCACACUGGAACUGAGACACGGGCCAGACUCCUACGGGAGGCAGCAGUGGGGAAUAUUGCACAAGGGGCGCAAGCCUGAGGAAGCCAUGCCGCGUGGAUGAAGAAGGUUUUCGGGUUGUAAAGCACUUUAAGCGGGGAGGCGGUAACCAAAGAAGAAGCACCGGCUAACUCCGUGCCAGCAGCCGCGGUAAUUC